CUGAUGCAGUCUACUGCUCUACAGCUUGUUAAGAGAAUACCUUCUCCCAGGGGUAGCCUCUUCUGAGGGUAAUUAUUCGGCUUGUUUUCUGGGAACCAACUCCCUAGUAUUUAGCUUUCUACAGCUUCCUCUUAAAGUAAUAAGAUCCUCUGGCUCUCUAAUACAAGGACAAUUAAUUUAUUUGUUUGAAAAUAGAAGUUUCAAAGGUACAUGUGGUAGUGUCCUGAAGUAUAGUAAGGAAAAAGAUGACUGAGCACACUGGUAUGGGUAAGAGUGCCACCAUGUUACUAGCACAGAAUAUAUUGUGGGAAUAAAUUAAAACUUUAAAUCAGUUACCAACAAUGAUUCAAUAACAAAAAGCUCGACCAUAGAUUUUCAUAAGCGCAUUGAAAUAUCUCAUAAUACAUCCCUGGAGAGCUGUUGUUUAAGAUUGGGGUUGGUAGCCCUGGCCCUGUUGUGGGAAAAGGGAGACACAGCAGCCUGGGGGAUAAGACUGCCCUGUGGUUGGAGGUAGGCCUGUGGGGGAAAGGCCUAGCUACAGGAGCAAAAUGGUGGCUAUAAGAACCUGCUAUGUCAAGGAGAUUCCCCAUUAACAUAUCCCUGUCGCAGAGCACUUAGGUGCCCUGCUCCUAAGAAGGGAGAAAACUGCUAGGGGAAGAGUCCUAGCAGUGAGUAAAGAGUCCAGCUGCUGGUUGCCAGGGCAACCAGAGGAGGUCAGAUGACCAGAAGGGGCAGGGCCUGGCUCCCACAUAAACCCUAGGGGCUGGGGCCAGAAGCAGUUCCCUACCAGCAGCCAAGGAGGAAGGAGCUCCCUGCCAGGAAAGAGAAGAGAAGUCUGAAUGCAAGAGUAGCGUCUAUCACUGUGGCAGGAUGAAGAAUCCCCGUGGCUGGGAGCACCACAGUUUCACUUUCACUGUGCUCCGCUUCCAGCACGGCGUCCUACCAGCUCCUCCUUGUCUGAUGGAGGCACUUUUAAACUGUGCGCAUGUGCCGUGGGCCCGCCGCUGGAACCAUGCUGAUCCCGGGCAGUGCGGACCCCACCUGGGAACUAGGGGAUCCUGCCCCACCGGAGAGGGACUGAAUGCAGGGAAUAAUCAGCUAUGAUGGAUCAAUGUCUGAGGCUUUUAAGAUUCGAAGUGGAGUCAAGUAGGGCUAUGUCCAUGCACCAACCCUGUUCUGAAUUUUCUAUUCUUUUUUUUCUGAUGUACGCUUUCGGGAUCAUCACCAAAAGAAUUUAUCACUAUACAUGCACAGAUGGAAAAUUAUUCAAUCUCACAUGCCUUAAAGUGAAGACUAAAGUGUGGAAAGUUUUGUCAGCUGCUGUUUGCUGCUGCUGCUAUGCUGAUAUCUCACAGACAUCAAAGCUUCAUCAAUUGCUUCAUUCAUGCCUGCUAAGAGUUUGGUCUUACAAUCAGCAUCAAUAAGACCAGUAUUAUGGACAGAACAUUGAUUUAUCACCAGUGAUCACUGUGACAGAGUGCUUCUCCAGGGGUGUCUGUGAAGCCUCUGGAGUCCCUGCAGCCCUCACUUUCUGGGCAAUCACCCCUUCAGUCUUCUGCCAUGCCUUGGUGUUUAUUAUUAUUAUGAGGGAGGCUGCUCCCUGGCUUCCCAAAUUACUCUCAAGUGACGAGGUGCAUUGUGGUCCAUGCCUCGUGGGCUAAUUGCAUGGUUUCAUUCCUCCCCUACACCAUGCCCUCUUUCACUUAUCCCCUCCUCUGGGUUUCCUGGACCCUUGCUGGUCCCACAGUCUCAGCCCCUCGGUCUAGGCUCUGGACCCCUCCCUGGAUCCCUAGGAACCUCCUACUUCUCUUAGUUCCUCUCCAAACCACCAGACUGCUUUAGCUAUCCUCUCUAUGGUCGUGCUUCAGAGCUGCAGUCCUCCUGCUGAGGUGGUGUUGUCUCAGAAGGCUCCAGAUGUUACUGCUGGCUUCUCUCAGGGCCUGGGCUUAUACCUGCUUUAAGCCCAGCCCUCCUUCUGAGUCAGAUGACUCCAUCUGUGAACAGUUACACCAGAACAGGAGGUACCUUGAGGUUUGGGAGAUCUCUGCCCUGGUUGGGCUUCCUAUUAGCCCGGGCACUGAGGACCAUCAGGUGGCUUGCUCACAGGGUACUGCCCUUGACUCUCCUGCCGUGCCUUGAUCUUAAAUAAAAGAAGGGUCCUGGGAUGGUGAUGAUAACCCCUGUGGGCAUGCUCACUUUGUUGGUGCUCUUGGGGCUCCUCCUCCCUUACACCCCAUCCACUUGCCAACUGAGGUCUGGCUGAUGUUGAUGGUCCUGUCCCAGGUUUACACAGCCCAAUGCCUCUGAUCCACUGUAGGGCUUUGGUGGUAUGUAAUAGGGGGCAAUGCCCCAGGAGAAAAGGGAGAGCUCCUGAGUCAGCAGAACGGUGCCAAGGACCAGAAGUCCGACAGGAGUGAAACUGCAGCAGGGAAAACGCUGUGGCAGCAAAAGACAAAAAAAAAAGAACAACGAGUCCAGGAAGAGCCGGGAUUGGCUCUAGCCCCGGCAUGGACCUGCUUUAUGGUAGCGUGCCGGUGCCAAUUUGCUACCUGGCCCCAUAAGGAAAGGAUAAAUGCUCUGAUGGAAUCGGACCGGGAGAGACUGGAAGUGAGGCUUCCACUGGGGCCAGAAGAGCCCCAAGGAGGAGAGAGCUCCAGAGAGGAGCAAUGGUGGCUGCCCCAAGCAGGAGCACCUGGAGAUGAGACAAGCCUAAGAGGGCUAAGGUACUUAUCCGAAGCACAGUCGUGGAUUCUGGAUGCCUCCAGACCUGAUUGAACCACCAGGGAUUCUACAAAGGAAAAGAGAGCCAGAAGUCCAGACCACAGUGGAUACACAGCCAAGAAAAGUAGAGAUGUACCUGGAAAUAAGGUAACCUAGGGACAGCAAGGACUAUAAGUCAAUUUCACUACAGUCUGGAGCCCAGGCCAAGUAAGGUCCACGUUCUAUUUAUUCUAAAGUGAAAAGACCAAGACAAAAUUACCACCGUGGCUCACCCUAGCGGUAGGCAGAAGAUAACAGCUUAAGGUUGGCAUAAGGCGGGGUGUAGGGGAGGUGGAGCCCCAAAUCAGGAAACCAGACAUGAAGAGUCAAGGAGGGUCCCAGGGAAGGCGAGCCAUAACAUCUUACUCCCAAUAACAAACUUAUUUUCCACCAAAGACAUGGCAAGCGAGAACUCCCAAAGGCCUUCCAAGAUUAAUAAUUCAACAUCAAGCUAUCCAGUUCCCAAAGAUACGCCAAGACCCAAAAGAACCAAAUGUACUAGUGAACACCACGGGAAGUUACAUGGUGCCAGGCAGCAAACAAGCAGAAUAAUAUCUCCUUAAAAGAGGCUACCCCUGGGAGAAGGUAUUCUCUUAGGAAAAAGCUGUAGAGCAGUAGGCUGCAUCAGGGCAGGCAUCUGGGCAGCCUAGAGGCAGAUAAACAGUGGCCAGCUGUGGAUUAGUUCUAGGCCUCAGAAUUUGAUUAGUUCCAGGCCCUGGAAUUUGCUCUCAAUCAUGCUCAGUUCAUGAAGCCUUAAUUAAGUUGCAGUAUCAGCCUCAUUUGCGGGGUUUCCAAAAUUCACAUCAUCUGUAAUUAAUUUGUGGGUUCUCUUAAAUCAAUACAGUUCCUAAUUAAGUCACAGGCUGUCUUAAAUAAAUAACGUCCAUAUUUAAUUUGCUGUUCAUAAUUGGUAUCAAUCAAGUCCCUGCCCUUAAUUAAUUCCUGGGCAUUCAGCUGUCCCUGCUUCAAUUAAUUCCCUUGUUCAAAUCAAACGGUCUGGUCUUGCUUACUUCUGGGUGUGGGAUUCAUUACCCGCCUCAAAUAGUCUGCGGUUCCCCAAAUUAACAUUGACCCCUCUUUAAAGAACAAUAAAACUCAAAGGAAUGAGCGGAUGAGAAUCUGAUGGUGUUCAACGCCGAUAAAUGCAAGGUUCUCCACCUUGGGGAAAAAAAACCCGCAGCAUCCUUAUAGGCUCGGCAGUGCUAUGUUGGCUAGCACUAUGCAAGAAAGAGACUUGGGGGUCAUCAUUGACCACAAGAUGAACAUGAGCCUGCAAUGCGAUGCUGCGGCUAGUAAAGCGACCAAAACGCUGGCUUGCAUCCAUAGAUGCUUCUCAAGCAAAUCCUGGGACGUCAUUCUCCCCCUGUACUCGGCCUUAGUGAGGCUGCAGCUGGAGUACUGCGUCCAGUUUUGGGCUCCACAAUUCAUAAAGGAUGUGGAGAAGCUUGAGAGAGUCCAGAGAAGAGCCACGCGCAUGAUCAGAGGUCAGGGAAGCAGACCCUACUAUGACAGGCUGAGAGCCCUGGGGCUCUUUAGCCUGGAAAAGCGCAGGCUCAGGGGUGAUCCGAUGGCCACCUACAAGUUUAUCAGGGGUGACCACCAGUAUCUGGGGGAACGUUUCUUCACCAGAGCGCCCCAAGGGAUGACGAGGUUGAAUGGUCACA